GCUGGCGGCGUGCUUAACACAUGCAAGUCGAACGAACCUUCGGGUUAGUGGCGGACGGGUGAGUAACGCGUGGGAAUCUGCCCUCAGGAGGGGGAUAACGGUUGGAAACGACCGCUAAUACCCCAUAUGCCGAGAGGUGAAAUGAAUUUCGCCUGAGGAUGAGCCCGCGUCUGAUUAGCUUGUUGGUGAGGUAAUGGCUCACCAAGGCAUCGAUCAGUAGCUGGUCUGAGAGGAUGAUCAGCCACACUGGGACUGAGACACGGCCCAGACUCCUACGGGAGGCAGCAGUGGGGAAUUUUCCGCAAUGGGCGAAAGCCUGACGGAGCAACGCCGCGUGAGGGACGAAGGCCUCUGGGCUGUAAACCUCUUUUCUCAAGGAAGAAGAUAUGACGGUACUUG
rnacentral:rRNA from 1 species